rnacentral:rRNA from 1 species
GCUUGCUGGGGGAUUAGUGGCAGAACGGGUGAGUAACACGUGAGUAACCUGCCCUUGACUCUGGGAUAAGCCUGGGAAACCGGGUCUAAUACUGGAUAUGACCUUCUGGCGCAUGCCAUGUUGGUGGAAAGCUUUAUUGCGGUUUUGGAUGGACUCGCGGCCUAUCAGCUUGUUGGUGGGGUAAUGGCCUACCAAGGCGACGACGGGUAGCCGGCCUGAGAGGGUGGACGGCCACACUGGGACUGAGACACGGCCCAGACUCCUACGGGAGGCAGCAGUGGGGAAUAUUGCACAAUGGGCGCAAGCCUGAUGCAGCGACGCCGCGUGGGGGAUGAAGGCCUUCGGGUUGUAAACCUCUUUCAGUAGGGAAGAAGCGAAAGUGACGGUACCUGCAGAAGAAGCGCCGGCUAACUACGUGCCAGCAGCCGCGGUAAUACGUAGGGCGCAAGCGUUAUCCGGAAUUAUUGGGCGUAAAGAGCUCGUAGGCGGUUUGUCGCGUCUGCCGUGAAAGUCCGGGGCUUAACUCCGGAUCUGCGGUGGGUACGGGCAGACUAGAGUGAUGUAGGGGAGACUGGAAUUCCUGGUGUAGCGGUGAAAUGCGCAGAUAUCAGGAGGAACACCGAUGGCGAAGGCAGGUCUCUGGGCAUUAACUGACGCUGAGGAGCGAAAGCAUGGGGAGCGAACAGGAUUAGAUACCCUGGUAGUCCAUGCCGUAAACGUUGGGCACUAGGUGUGGGGGACAUUCCACGUUUUCCGCGCCGUAGCUAACGCAUUAAGUGCCCCGCCUGGGGAGUACGGCCGCAAGGCUAAAACUCAAAGGAAUUGACGGGGGCCCGCACAAGCGGCGGAGCAUGCGGAUUAAUUCGAUGCAACGCGAAGAACCUUACCAAGGCUUGACAUGAACUGGAACAGCGCAGAGAUGUGUUGGCCGCUUGCGGCCGGUUUACGGUGGUGCAUGGAUGUCGUCAGCUCGUGUCGUGAGAUGUUGGGUUAAGUCCCGCAACGAGCGCAACCCUCGUUCUAUGUUGCCAGCGCGUUAUGGCGGGGACUCAUAGGAGACUGC